GAGCGAACGCUGGCGGCAGGCUUAACACAUGCAAGUCGAACGGGCGUAGCAAUACGUCAGUGGCAGACGGGUGAGUAACGCGUGGGAACGUACCUUUUGGUUCGGAACAGCCCAGGGAAACUUGGGCUAAUACCGGAUAAGCCCUUACGGGGAAAGAUUUAUCGCCGAAAGAUCGGCCCGCGUCUGAUUAGCUUAGUUGGUGAGGUAAUGGCUCACCAAGGCGACGAUCAGUAGCUGGCUGAGAGGAUGAUCAGCAUCACUGGGACUGAGACACGGCCCAGACUCCUAC
rnacentral:rRNA from 1 species